rnacentral:rRNA from 1 species
UACGUAGGGUGCAAGCGUUGUCCGGAAUUACUGGGCGUAAAGCGCACGUAGGCGGAUAUUUAAGUCAGGGGUGAAAUCCCAGAGCUCAACUCUGGAACUGCCUUUGAUACUGGGUAUCUUGAGUAUGGAAGAGGUAAGUGGAAUUGCGAGUGUAGAGGUGAAAUUCGUAGAUAUUCGCAGGAACACCAGUGGCGAAGGCGGCUUACUGGUCCAUAACUGACGCUGAGGUGCGAAAGCGUGGGGAGCAAACAGG